rnacentral:tRNA from 4 species
GCUGGUGUAGCUCAGUUGGUAGAGCAUUCCCUUCGUAAGGGAGAGGUCGUCGGUUCAAAGCCGCCCACCAGCU